rnacentral:rRNA from 1 species
GAUGAACGCUGGCGGCGUGCCUAAUACAUGCAAGUCGAGCGAAUGGAUUAAGAGCUUGCUCUUAUGAAGUUAGCGGCGGACGGGUGAGUAACACGUGGGUAACCUGCCCAUAAGACUGGGAUAACUCCGGGAAACCGGGGCUAAUACCGGAUAACAUUUUGAACCGCAUGGUUCGAAAUUGAAAGGCGGCUUCGGCUGUCACUUAUGGAUGGACCCGCGUCGCAUUAGCUAGUUGGUGAGGUGACGGCUCACCAAGGCAACGAUGCGUAGCCGACCUGAGAGGGUGAUCGGCCACACUGGGACUGAGACACGGCCCAGACUUCUACGGGAGGCAGCAGUAGGGAAUCUUCCGCAAUGGACGAAAGUCUGACGGAGCAACGCCGCGUGAGUGAUGAAGGCUUUCGGGUCGUAAAACUCUGUUGUUAGGGAAGAACAAGUGCUAGUUGAAUAAGCUGGCACCUUGACGGUACCUAACCAGAAAGCCACGGCUAACUACGUGCCAGCCGCCGCUGUAA